UACAGAGGGUGCGAGCGUUGUCCGGAAUUACUGGGCGUAAAGGGUGCGUAGGUGGUUUCUUAAGUCAGAGGUGAAAGGCUAUGGCUCAACCGUAGUAAGCCUUUGAAACUGGGAAACUUGAGUGCAGGAGAGGAGAGUGGAAUUCCUAGUGUAGCGGUGAAAUGCGUAGAUAUUAGGAGGAACACCAGUUGCGAAGGCGGCUCUCUGGACUGUAACUGACACUGAGGCACGAAAGCGUGGGGAGCAAACAGG
rnacentral:rRNA from 1 species